rnacentral:rRNA from 1 species
CCUACGGGAGGCAGCAGUGGGGAAUAUUGGGCAAUGGGCGAAAGCCUGACCCAGCAAUGCCGCGUGAAUGAAGAAGGUCUUAGGAUUGUAAAAUUCUGUCCUAUGGGAAGAAAAAAAUGACGGUACCAUAGGAGGAAGCCCCGGCUAACUACGUGCCAGCAGCCGCGGUAAUACGGAGGAUGCGAGCGUUAUCCGGAUUUAUUGGGUUUAAAGGGUGCGUAGGCGGAUCGUUAAGUCAGUGGUCAAAUUGAGGGGCUCAACCCCUUCCCGCCAUUGAAACUGGCGUUCUUGAGUGGAAGAGAAGUAUGCGGAAUGCGUGGUGUAGCGGUGAAAUGCAUAGAUAUCACGCAGAACCCCGAUUGCGAAGGCAGCAUGCCGGCUUCCGACUGACGCUGAAGCACGAAAGCGUGGGGAUCGAACAGGAUUAGAUACCCGGGUAGUC